rnacentral:rRNA from 1 species
CAGCCGCCACGGUAAUACGUAGGUGGCAAGCGUUGUCCGGAAUUAUUGGGCGUAAAGGGCUCGCAGGCGGUUUCUUAAGUCUGAUGUGAAAGCCCCCGGCUCAACCGGGGAGGGUCAUUGGAAACUGGGAAACUUGAGUGCAGAAGAGGAGAGUGGAAUUCCACGUGUAGCGGUGAAAUGCGUAGAGAUGUGGAGGAACACCAGUGGCGAAGGCGACUCUCUGGUCUGUAACUGACGCUGAGGAGCGAAAGCGUGGGGAGCAAACAGGAUUAGAUACCCCUGUAGUCCCUGUCUCUUAUAC